UGCCCCAUGGCUGAGUUGGUUACAGCGUCCGACUGUUACUCUCUAUGUCUUGUACUACAUCAUCGGAAGGUCGUGAGUUCGAGCCUCACUGGGGCAG